rnacentral:rRNA from 1 species
GAUGAACGCUGACAGCAUGCUUAACACAUGCAAGUCUUUGGCGAAUCUGUGCUUGCACAGGCUAGCCAAGGCGGACGGGUGAGUAACGCGUAAAGAACUUGCCCUGCAGACAGGGAUAACAGACGGAAACGACUGAUAACACCUGAUACAGUUGCCGGCACGCAUGUGCCUGGCAAUGAAAAGAGAUGCUGCAGGAGAGCUUUGCGUCCCAUUAGCUUGUUGGUGAGGUGACGGCUCACCAAGGCGAUGAUAGGUAGCCGGCCUGAGAGGGUGAACGGCCACAAGGGGACUGAGAUACGGCCCUUACUCCUACGGGAGGCAGCAGUGGGGAAUAUUGGACAAUGGGGGCAACCCUGAUCCAGCAAUUCUGUGUGCACGAAGAAGGUUUUCGGAUUGUAAAGUGCUUUCAGCAGGGAAGAAGAAAGUGACGGUACCUGCAGAAGAAGCGACGGCUAAAUACGUG